UUUCGGGUCGUAAAACUCUGUCCUCAAGGAAGAUAAUGACGGUACUUGAGGAGGAAGCCCCGGCUAACUACGUGCCAGCAGCCGCGGUAAUACGGAGGGGGCUAGCGUUAUCCGGAUUUACUGGGCGGAAAGGGUGCGUAGGCGGUCUUUCAAGUCAGGAGUGAAAGGCUACGGCUCAACCGUAGUAAGCUCUUGAAACUGGGAGACUUGAGUGCAGGAGAG
rnacentral:rRNA from 1 species